GCAAGUCGGCAGAGAGGCGACACGGGAAGGAAGGAUGAAGGAUGGGGGCAAGAACACUUGGCAAUCGAGCUGGUGGCAAGCAGGUGGUGGAUGGAGCGCUUGCAAGGGGAUGAAGGGCACCACUGCUGGCUUUGCAGCCAACUUCCUCCACAAAGGAUGACAGAGGAUCCCAGGAGGAAAAGGAAAGAAAUUUUACUGGCCUAGUAAUCUGAGAAGUAAUAAUAAUGAUGAUGAUAACAAUAACAACAGUUUGCAAAGGAGUUAAAAAUUCCCAUGGGAUACCAAAGCUCAGCCAGAAUCAAGACUCCACAGAAUGAGUCAAUCGGCAUCAAGAGUGAAUGUGCUGAAUAUGUGGCCAAAUAUUCACCGAAAUAGGAAAUGUGGUAGAGGUUAAGGAUUGUGUCAAAACAAAUAAAUAAUCAAAAGUAGGUCAAUUUUCUCAGUGUUGCCAUCUUCCCAUAUUGGUUUUCCUCCUACCUCUUUGACUAAACCUCCUUGGUCUUUUUGCCCAGCACUUUCUACUCUCCACCCUAAAAGGGACAGUUAACUGCAGCUUUGUCCUUCCUUCUGUUAUUCUCCCUUCCCCUAAAGGACUUUAUGCAUUCCUAUAGAUCCAACUACUUCCAUCUGCGAUGGUUCACAUAUUUACAGCUCUGGCUCUAACCAGCAGAUUUCUCCAUCUCAUCAUAAAAUGUGAGGAUGCAGAAGAGUUUCUAAACAUCCCUGGGUCUAGUGAAGUAGCAGGUACAGAAGGAGUCAUGGACCUUUGCCUUCCCUCCUCACCUUGACCUCCUAGAAUCCUCAUUUCCCUUCAGGGUUCAGGCCACUUUAAUACAUGAGGCCUUCCUGAUUCCCCCAAGAUUGUCCGUGUUCUCAGUGAUCCCCAGAAUUAUUCUUA